rnacentral:rRNA from 1 species
ACGCUGGCGGCGUGCCUAAUACAUGCAAGUAGAACGCUGAAGGAGGAGCUUGCUUCUCCGGAUGAGUUGCGAACGGGUGAGUAACGCGUAGGUAACCUGCCUGGUAGCGGGGGAUAACUAUUGGAAACGAUAGCUAAUACCGCAUAAGAGUAGAUGUCGCAUGACAUUUGCUUAAAAGGUGCAAUUGCAUCACUACCAGAUGGACCUGCGUUGUAUUAGCUAGUUGGUGGGGUAACGGCUCACCAAGGCGACGAUACAUAGCCGACCUGAGAGGGUGAUCGGCCACACUGGGACUGAGACACGGCCCAGACUCCUACGGGAGGCAGCAGUAGGGAAUCUUCGGCAAUGGACGGAAGUCUGACCGAGCAACGCCGCGUGAGUGAAGAAGGUUUUCGGAUCGUAAAGCUCUGUUGUAAGAGAAGAACGAGUGUGAGAGUGGAAAGUUCACACUGUGACGGUAUCUUACCAGAAAGGGACGGCUAACUACGUGCCAGCAGCCGCGGUAAUACGUAGGUCCCGAGCGUUGUCCGGAUUUAUUGGGCGUAAAGCGAGCGCAGGCGGUUAGAUAAGUCUGAAGUUAAAGGCUGUGGCUUAACCAUAGUACGCUUUGGAAACUGUUUAACUUGAGUGCAAGAGGGGAGAGUGGAAUUCCAUGUGUAGCGGUGAAAUGCGUAGAUAUAUGGAGGAACACCGGUGGCGAAAGCGGCUCUCUGGCUUGUAACUGACGCUGAGGCUCGAAAGCGUGGGGAGCAAACAGGAUUAGAUACCCCUGGUAGUCCACGCCGUAAACGAUGAGUGCUAGGUGUUAGACCCUUUCCGGGGUUUAGUGCCGCAGCUAACGCAUUAAGCACUCCGCCUGGGGAGUACGACCGCAAGGUUGAAACUCAAAGGAAUUGACGG